CCUACGGGAGGCAGCAGUGAGGAAUAUUGGUCAAUGGACGAGAGUCUGAACCAGCCAAGUAGCGUGAAGGAUGACUGCCCUAUGGGUUGUAAACUUCUUUUAUAUGGGAAUAAAAUGUUCCACGUGUGGGAUUUUGUAUGUACCAUAUGAAUAAGGAUCGGCUAACUCCGUGCCAGCAGCCGCGGUAAUACGGAGGAUCCGAGCGUUAUCCGGAUUUAUUGGGUUUAAAGGGAGCGUAGGUGGAUUGUUAAGUCAGUUGUGAAAGUUUGCGGCUCGACCGUAAAAUUGCAGUUGAAACUGGCAGUCGUGAGUACAGUAGAGGUGGGCGGAAUUCGUGGUGUAGCGGUGAAAUGCUUAGAUAUCACGAAGAACUCCGAUUGCGAAGGCAGCUCACUGGACUGCAACUGACACUGAGGCUCGAAAGUGUUGGUAUCAAACAGGAUUAGAUACCCCAGUAGUC
rnacentral:rRNA from 1 species